UACGGAGGGAGCUAGCGUUGUUCGGAAUUACUGGGCGUAAAGCGCGCGUAGGCGGCUUUGUAAGUUAGAGGUGAAAGCCCGGGGCUCAACCCCGGAACUGCCUUUAAAACUGCAUCGCUUGAAUCCGGGAGAGGUGAGUGGAAUUCCGAGUGUAGAGGUGAAAUUCGUAGAUAUUCGGAAGAACACCAGUGGCGAAGGCGGCUCACUGGACCGGCAUUGACGCUGAGGUGCGAAAGCGUGGGGAGCAAACAGGG
rnacentral:rRNA from 1 species